UCAAAUAAUAUGGAAUCAAAGCUGCACUUAAAUGGUGAAUUUGCCAGGAUCGGCUGAUUAAUGAGAUACAGCAAAGAGCAGAGCGAGGCUUCUUGAUUUUUAAGUUCAUUACCCUUUGUACCUUGCCAUCUCUCAGUUCUAUUGUGAAUAACAGGUUCUUGACAUGAAGUAGGCGACCCAUCAGCAUGAACAUGCACGUAAAGGAAAAUACGACAGAGAGAAUUCAGGUCAAUUUCCAGCAACCACUACGUGUCACUAAUGUGAAGUCAAGAAGAGACCGCUGUGGCAUGUCCCUCGUACAUCGCACCAGAGGCAAAGAACCUCAAGAGCAUAGAUAAAGGUGGUUACUUUAUCAUAGAGCAUUGAAAUUCAGCUACAAGAUUGAAGGUGUUUUGUUGAGAUGCUGUUAGAUUGCUAUAGUAUCAUCAUUUUCCUUUCUUGACGUCCAGGUAA